rnacentral:rRNA from 1 species
UACGGAAGGCAGCAGUGGGGAAUAUUGCACAAUGGGCGCAAGCCUGAUGCAGCCAUGCCGCGUGUAUGAAGAAGGCCUUCGGGUUGUAAAGUACUUUCAGUCGUGAGGAAGGUGUUAAGGUUAAUAACCUUAGCAAUUGACGUUAGCGACAGAAGAAGCACCGGCUAACUCCGUGCCAGCAGCCGCGGUAAUACGGAGGGUGCGAGCGUUAAUCGGAAUUACUGGGCGUAAAGGGCACGCAGGCGGUUAAUUAAGUUGGAUGUGAAAUCCCCGGGCUUAACCUGGGAAUGGCAUUCAAGACUGGUUAGCUAGAGUCUUGUAGAGGGGGUAGAAUUCCAUGUGUAGCGGUGAAAUGCGUAGAGAUGUGGAGGAAUACCGGUGGCGAAGGCGGCCCCUGGGACAAAGACUGACGCUCAUGUGCGAAGCGUGGGGAGCAAACGAGGAUUAGAUACC